rnacentral:lncRNA from 1 species
GUGAGUAAAGUGUGACAUCCCCUCUUCCUCUUUCAGAGCAAGUGUACUCAGUCAGCUUUAUAUGUUGUCACUUCUAUGUAAGUUUGUGUGUGUGUGUGUCUGUGUGUGUGUGUGAGAGAGAAAGGGAUUUGGGGAAAAUUUUUUUUAAUUUUUGAAUAGCACAGAACUGUCCCAUUUGGUAGUGCACAACUAUAAUCUCAGUACUCUGGGAAGCUGAGGCCCAACAAUCACAGGUUCAAGCCCCACCUAGUCAACUUAGUGAAUUAGCAAGACCCUGCCUCAAAAAAUACUUGAAUUAUUCUGUAAGACCGCUGUCCUUACCAAACGCUCCGAGGAGCUGACUAUAGUGAAGCACACCCAGGGAUCCCAGCGGUGCCUCCAGAAUGGAAGGUCAAAGGCCUUACCAAAUGCUCCAAGGAGCUGGAGUGGAGCACACCCGGGGAUCCCAGUGGUGCCUCCAGAAUGUAAGACCAAGGCCUUGCCAAAUGCUCCAAGGAGCUGACUGCAGGGAAGAACACCCGGGAAGGAACACACCGGACAAGUUGGAAAGUGAAACAGACCUUAGUCUGGCCAGACGGCACUCCCAAAGCAGAGUAGCUUAGAGAGGUGUAGUCCAGAGUCGAGGCUCUUUUUAUAGGGGCUUGCAGGGGAAUUAACAGGCGAAAUUUACAAAGGUUUAGUGGUCUUACAUUUGUAUGUUAAUUAGCCUGACAUGUACUGAUAGUCAGCAGAUGCUUUGUAGAUUGUUCUAUAGACAGUGGUGUCGGGAACAAAGAGUUGGAUAAUUAUGGCUGAUACAGAUCUUAUCUAGUGUCCCAGAACUAAGAAGCAUCUUUAUCUAUUUACUCAUAUUCAAUCACAGUUGGGGCUAGGGGAGUUUUAUGAUUACAGAAUUAUGCAGUCCUACAAUUCCCCUUGUCAUGUCCUCCUUGUCAUUAUUCCCCCACAUCUCCCCUACCAUCACAUAUUUUAAGGGAAAACUUUUAAAGUAUUAAUACAUUCUAAAGUCAUUUCAUGUCCUCCACUACCCACCCUUAUACUCCUUCCU